rnacentral:rRNA from 1 species
ACGAGCGCAACCCACAUCCCUAGUUGCCAGCAGUUCGGCUGGGCACUCUAUGGAAACUGCCCGUGAUAAGCGGGAGGAAGGUGUGGAUGACGUCAAGUCCUCAUGGCCCUUAUGGGUAGGGCUUCACACGUCAUACAAUGGUACAUACAGAGGGCCGCCAACCCGCGAGGGGGAGCUAAUCCCAGAAAGUGUAUCGUAGUCCGGAUCGUAGUCUGUAACUCGACUGC